rnacentral:tRNA from 1 species
GCGGGUGUAGUUUAGCGGUAGAAUUCCAGCCUUCCAAGCUGGUUGUGUGGGUUCGACUCCCAUCACCCGCUCCA